UCCAACAAAUUUCAUUCAUCACCAACACUUCUAGAUUCAGACAAACGAGUCAACACCAGGUAACUACAAGCACUGCCAGAAACUAGCGAUCUAAGAGGAGGUGAACUUGGUGACGGCCUUGGUGCCCUCGGAGACGGCGUGCUUGGCGAGCUCGCCGGGGAGGACGAGGCGGACGGAGGUCUGGAUCUCCCGGGAGGCGAUGGUGGGCUUCUUGUUGUAGCGGGCGAGCUUGGCGGCCUCGCCGGCGAGCUUCUCGAAGAUGUCGUUGAUGAAGGAGU
rnacentral:lncRNA from 1 species